CUUAUUUAGUGGAUUUUAGCUUUAGAAAACUGGAGGGAGUCUAGAAAAGGAGGAUAAGGCAAUCCAGCAAGCAUACAGCAUCUCUCCUGAUAUCAGCAGAAGAUGAUCUGCUCUAAGGAGCUCCUGCCGGAGAUUUUGCCUCCUCCUCUUCCCUGGGAAGAAGGCUAUACAGGGAGUUUCCAGCUGUGUUCAAGUACUGUGCAAAUAUGAACUUUAAAGAAAAAAAAAUCGGUCUUUUUAAAAGCAGAUCGAUU
rnacentral:lncRNA from 1 species